UACGUAGGGUGCAAACGUUGUUCGGAAUCACCGGGCAUAAAGGGCGCGUAGGCGGUUUGAUAAGUCCUCUGUGAAAGCCCCCGGCUCAACCGGGGAACUGCACUGGAUACUGUCGAGCUAGAGUGUAGAAGAGGAGAGCGGAAUUCCUGGUGGAGCGGUGAAAUGCGUAGAUAUCAGGAGGAACGCCAGCGGCGAAAGCGGCUCUCUGGUCUACUACUGACGCUGAGGCGCGAAAGCUAGGGGAGCAAACGGG
rnacentral:rRNA from 1 species